UACAGAGGUCCCAAGCGUUGUUCGGAUUCACUGGGCGUAAAGGGUGCGUAGGUGGUCAGGUAAGUCGGAUGUGAAAUCUCCGAGCUCAACUCGGAAACUGCAUUGGAAACUACCUGGCUCGAGGGUUGGAGGGGGGACUGGAAUGCUUGGUGUAGCAGUGAAAUGCGCAGAUAUCAGGAGGAACACCGGUGGCGAAGGCGGGUCUCUGGGCCGUAACUGACGCUGAGGAGCGAAAGCAUGGGGAGCGAACAGG
rnacentral:rRNA from 1 species